GAUGAAAAUAAUACCUUCUUCCCUGGUAGUUGCAAGAACUAAAUGAGGGAAAGUAUGCGAAGCGCCCAGUCCAUUCCAUGGGAAGGUCGACUCCCAUCCUCCCCAUUGUAGCCUUCACCGCUGUCAUUCUGUAUCGGGCUUCGUUGGGAGGUGCUAGUCUGAGUUUGCUGAACAUGGGAGAGUGGUUGAGAACAUCCAUUCUGGAACUGGACUGGCUGGGUUCAAAAUCUAGGCUCAGAUCCACGACCGCACUCUGAUAAGUGACCUUGAGCAAGAUACUUUAACCUCUUUGAGCCUCAGUUUCUUCAUCUACAAAAUGAAAAUGAUGAUGGUACCGUGUGUGUGUGUGUGUGUGUGUGUGUGUUUGUGUGUGUGUGUGUGUGUGUGUGUGUGUGUGUGUGUGUGCUGGAAACUUUCUGAGGGCUGGGUGGUUUUCAGGACAGUGUCACCUGAGUUGUCACUGCCUUGAUGAGUUCAUGUGUGGUUGAGUAGUCUAGAUAAUGGUAUAACAGCAAGACAAGUACCCACAUGAUGAUAUUUGUCUCCUUAUAAGAGAAAUCCUUGCUGGAGUUCCCGUUGUGGCUCAUCGCGUUAAGAAUCAGAUUAGCAUCCUUGAGCACGAGGGUUCGAUCCCUGGCCUCGCCCAGUGGAUUAAGGAUCCAGCGUUGCCAUGAACUGUUGAUGUAGGUCACAGACGCAGCUCAGAUCCCACGUUGCUGCAGCUCUGAUUCGACCCCUAGCCUGGAGCCUCCAUAUACCGCAGGCGCAGCCCUGAAAAGACAAAAACAAAAAAGAAAGAGAGAAAUACUUGCUUAUUGUAGAAACUUUGAAAAACAUAAAGGAAAAAUAGAAAGGAACCAUGAUCCCACAACUCAGAAAUAAUCACCAUUAACAUUUUGGUAUAUUUCUUUCCAGUCUUGUUUCUGUGUAGAUAGCUGUUUUCCUAUAAUUGGGACCACAGGCCAUAUUGCUGACUACAUGCCUUCCUAUAUCCCCCACUGACCUGGUUGUCUGUGAGAUGAGCAUUUCCAAUGCCAUUCGAAAGAAUAUUUUUUGAAAUAGGGUUACUAUUUGUUUCACUUUGUUUUACUGAUUGAAAAAUGAUACAUUGAGGGAGUCGAUUAAUAAAUUGGUAGUGUUUUUUUGGAGGAGGGUGUCUGUCCCAUUACAUAUUGUCACCAGUGUCUUGGGCGAUAACAUGGGUGGCAUGUGAUCAGCUGGCACCUUUGUGUGUUAUUUGUCUUGGUGUCACAUACAUUCCUGGGUCCAGAGCAGUUGUCCAUUCAUUCAUUCCACAAAUAUUUAUUGCGUGUCCAUUAUGUGCCAGGCAUUGUUCUGUGUACUUGGGCUUCAUCAGUGAACAAAAAGGCAAAAAUUCCUUUCCUUGUAUAGCCAGGGGCAGGACUUGUAGGGCAGACAGUAAUAAGCUAAGUUAUAAAGCUCGUUAAAAGGUGAUGAACAUGAUGGACCAAACAAAAAUAUGGAGCUGAGCUAGGAGGAUAGUACUGGAGAGGGGGCCGUAGUGCAGUUUUAAAUAGGAUGACCAGGGUCAGCCUCUCUGAGAAAGAAGCAUUUGACCAGGGACUUGAAGAUGAGGAUCUGGUGAUGUAACUAUCUGGGGAUGGGGUGGGGAGGGGGGAAGGGUGGGUACCAGCAGAGGAAACAGCCAAAGCAAAGAUCCUGGGACUAGAGCCUCUGAGAGUGUUUGAGGAAUAGCAGGACCAGUGUGGCUGCUGUAGAGAGUCAUUCUUUUUUUAUUUUUUUGGCCAUGGCUGUGGUAUCUGGAAGUUCCCAGGCUAGGGAUUGAAGCCAUAGCAGUUGACAAUGCCGGAUCCUUAACCUGCUGUGCCACAAGAGAGCUCCUGGAGGGUCAUCCUUGAACAAAUGGCUGGACACUGAGAGGCAGAGUCAGUAUGUUGGUUAGGAGAGCUAGGAAUUAGAUAUAACAUAUGAUGUAUAUCUAAUCAUCUAAUAUCUAAUCAGGCUGUAACAUAUGAUGUAAAUUUUAUAAAAUGUAAAUUCCAAGAGUUCCCUUUGUGGCUUAUCAGUUAAUGAACCCGACUAGAAUACAUGAGGAUGCAGGUUCAAUCCCUGGCCUCGCUCAGUGGGUUAAGGAUCUGGCAUUGCUAUGAGCUGUGGUAUAGGUCACAGACGUGGCUCGGAUCCUGUUUUGCUGUGGCUGUGGUGUAGACAAGUGGCUGCAGCCCCAAUUCAACCCCUAGCCUGGGAACCUCCAUAUGCCAUAGGUGCGGCCCUAAAAAGCAAAUAAAUAAAUAAAAAUAAAAUAAAAUGUAAAUUCCAGCUAGAACCAAGUGUGCUCUGAUGUUAAAAAAUCCUCUGCAGUGCAAGUCACCUCAAAUCCCUCUUGUUAGGAAACUGGGUGUGAACUAUAAAUAAAUUACACAAGUACAGGAGAAGAGAGAUAUGGCUUCUCUAUUACAGAUAUGCUGAAUCCAUUUAUUCAGCAUGUGUUUAUUGAAUGUCCAACCUGGGCUCGGCCUUGCUCUAGGUGUUGGGGAUUCAGAACAAGACAAAAUUGCUGCCUUCAGGAUGCUUGCAUUCUAGUGGGUGGAGACUCAUGCUUGGGCAAGCUCAGAGAUAUGAUGUGAUAUUGGGUGGUGAUAACUGCUGAAACCAAGAGCAGUGAACCAGGGUUCUCAAGAGAAAAAUCAAGUCGAGUCUAAAUUAAUUGAGUCACCUGUGUGUUGCAGUUGCCAAAAAGCCAAAUUCCAUCUGAGGCUGUGUGAACUGAAUGCCCAGCACCUAGCUUGGGUUCCCUCUGCCCUCAGAUUGUCAAGCUGGACCCAGAGUGUGGCAUCUACAUUCUAGAAGGACAUUGAGAAGUCUCAACUUGUUCAGGGGAGAAUGAUUAAGAUCACAGGGGUGGAAGUGCUGUAGCACCAUCCAGAAGACAGGACCAGGAUCUGUGGAUAUAGGUUUCAGGGAGGUAGGUUGAGGAAUUUUCUUAUGGUCCGGACUGACCAGUGAUGGAAUGGGCUGUGAGAGAGGAUGGGAGUCCAUCCUCCACAGUGCUUCAGAAGGGCCUGGAGGAGUUCUCACCGUGGUGCAACGGGACCUCCAGCAUCUCUAAAGCUCUGGGAUGCAGGUUCGAUCCCCCUGCGGGGCAGAGUGGGUUAAGGAUCUGGCAUUGCUGCCGCUGUGGCGCAGGUUGCAACUGUGGCUCAGAUCUGAACCUUGGUCUGGGAACUUCCAUAUGCCAUGGUGCAGCCGAAAAAAAGAGAAGAGCCUGGAUUCACCUAAGAGGGUAUCAUGAAUCUGGUGGAAGCUGGAUUCAAUCUGUACGGCUCCUUCAAGUUCCAGGUCAUAAUGUACAUGAGAAGAAGAAAGGAUUUUCUGCAUGUAACUUGCAGCAGAUAAUUUCAUAUCAGCCACAUAUUAUCUCCACAAUAGCCAACAACCACCAAGGGCUUAAGUAGCCUCUCAACAUGUGGAAAUCAGAAAUUCUGACAACUCUUUCACUCAUCACUUUAGUUAGGUUGGUGUCCAGAUCUGGGUGCCAG
rnacentral:lncRNA from 1 species